rnacentral:rRNA from 1 species
ACACCAUUGAGCUCGACCUCAGAUCAGGUAGGAGUACCCGCUGAACUUAAGCAUAUCAAUAAGCGGAGGAAAAGAAACCAACAGGGAUUGCCCCAGUAGCGGCGAGUGAAGCGGCAAGAGCUCAGAUUUGAAAUCGUGCUAAUUUUUUUGGCACGAGUUGUAGAGUGUAGGCGGGAGUCUUUGUGGAGCACGGUGUCCAAGUCCCUUGGAACAGGGCGCCUGAGAGGGUGAGAGCCCCGUGGGGUGCCGUGCGAAGCUCUGAGGCCCUGCUGACGAGUCGAGUUGUUUGGGAAUGCAGCUCCAAGUGGGUGGUAAAUUCCAUCUAAGGCUAAAUACUGGCGAGAGACCGAUAGCGAACAAGUACUGUGAAGGAAAGAUGAAAAGCACUUUGAAAAGAGAGUGAAACAGCACGUGAAAUUGUUGAAAGGGAAGGGUAUUGGGCCCGACAUGGGGAGUGCGCACCGCUGUCUCUUGUAGGCGGCGCUCUGGGCGCUCUCUGGGCCAGCAUCGGUUCUUGCUGCGGGAGAAUGGGUGCCGGAAAGUGGCUCUUCGGAGUGUUAUAGCCGGCGCCAGAUACCGCGUGCGGGGACCGAGGACUGCGGCUUCUGUCUCGGAUGCUGGCACAACGGCGCAAUACCGCCCGUCUUGAAAACAUGGACCAAGGAGUCUACCGUCUAUGCCGAGUGUUUGGGUGUAAAACCCCGUACGCGUAAUGAAAGUGAAC